rnacentral:rRNA from 1 species
GACGAACGCUGGCGGCGUGCUUAACACAUGCAAGUCGAACGGGUCUGCCCUGUUUUUUGCGGGGUGGGUCAGUGGCGAACGGGUGAGUAACACGUGAGUAACCUGCCCCUCACUUCUGGAUAACCGCUUGAAAGGGUGGCUAAUACGGGGUGUUCUGGCUGUGCCGCAUGGUGUGGCUGGGAAAGAUUCACUUUUGUGGUGUUUUGGUGGGGGAUGGGCUCGCGGCCUAUCAGCUUGUUGGUGGGGUGAUGGCCUGCCAAGGCUUUGACGGGUAGCCGGCCUGAGAGGGUGGGCGGUCACACUGGGACUGAGAUACGGCCCAGACUCCGGCGGGAGGCAGCAGUGGGGGGUAGUGCACAAUGGGCGGAAGCCUGAUGCAGCGACGUCGCGGGAGGGAUGGAGGCCUUCGGGUUGUGAACCUCUUUCGCCGGUGAAGAAGGUCCUGCUCUUUGUGGUGGGGUUGACGGUAGCCGGGUUAUGAAGCGCCGGCUAACUACGUG